CUGGCCCUACACGCUGCAUUCAUGUAUGCGGCUACAAAUGACAGCUACACAUUUUCUUUUGUUCUAUUUGUCAAAUGUAGCUACACGAUGUAGCUAUCGUUUGGGACCUUUUCAAUCCGUGUAUGUUCAGCUGUCAUAUUGUGGUUGUCAAACAUAGUUGGUUGUGUUUAUAUUAUGCGGAGAUCACUCCGGUUGUGUUUUUGCCGUGAUACACAAAGUUUCUUUUUUUUACAGUGGAAAAAUGGAAAUAAAUCAACUUCUUCCAACUUUAGCGGCUGAAGUGGCUACUCUCAUGUUGAUACUCAUAGAAGAGGAAGACGAAGAACUGCAGCAAGAGGAAAAUGCACGGCGCUGCUGGAUGACCGAUCUAUUUCUGGAGAGGGAAAGCGUUUGGACCCGGCUGUUUAGGGCGAUAGAUGGCGAAGGACCAAACAACCGGCUAGAAAGUUUUCUACGUGUGAAUCGCGAAGAAUUUUACUAUCUUUUAAAUCGGAUUGGUCCAAAAAUUGAACGACAAGAUACAACGAUGCGACCUUCGAUCUGCCCGAAGCAACGAUUAUGCAUCGGGCUUCGCUUUUUAGCUUCGGGAGACUCAUAUGAAUCUCUUGCUUUUUUGUUUAGGGUUUCUAGCAGUUCCGUAUCCCGUAUUGUGCGUGAUGUUUGUACAUACAUAAUAAAUGAAUUGAAGGAAUACGUUAAGGUAUUAUUUCACUGAUUUAAUAUGGUAACAAUUCCAUACUAAUACUCUCUUCUUACUUAUAAGAUGACCACUUUAUCUAAGCUGUUUGUAUAUAUAGUAAUUUUAAGUUUGGUUUCGUUUUCUGGUGCUCGUGUUAUUAUAGUCUAUUUUUCUAAAACUAAUAUAUUGCCUAAAAACUGCUGUUAUACUAUUUAACAAAUGAACUUGUUGCAAUAAACAACUAUUCAGGUCAUGUCACUAACGUAA